rnacentral:rRNA from 1 species
UACGUAGGGUGCAAGCAUUAAUCGGAUUUAUUGGGCGUAAAGGGCGCGUAGGCGGGAAGGUAAGUCAUAUGUGAAAUCCCGGGGCUCAACCUCGGAACAGCAUCUGAAACUACCUUUCUUGAGGGUAGGCGGAGAAAACGGAAUUCCACAAGUAGCGGUGAAAUGCGUAGAUAUGUGGAAGAACACCGGUGGCGAAGGCGGUUUUCUAUCUUAUUCCUGACGCUGAUGCGCGAAAGCAAGGGGAUCAAACAGG